GACGAACGCUGGCGGCGUGCUUAACACAUGCAAGUCGAACGGAAAGGCCCUGCUUUUGUGGGGUGCUCGAGUGGCGAACGGGUGAGUAACACGUGAGUAACCUGCCCUUGACUUUGGGAUAACUUCAGGAAACUGGGGCUAAUACCGGAUAUGAGCUCCUGCUGCAUGGUGGGGGUUGGAAAGUUUCGGCGGUUGGGGAUGGACUCGCGGCUUAUCAGCUUGUUGGUGGGGUAGUGGCUUACCAAGGCUUUGACGGGUAGCCGGCCUGAGAGGGUGACCGGCCACAUGGGGACUGAGAUACGGCCCAGACUGCUACGGGAGGCAGCAGUGGGGAAUAUUGCACAAUGGGCGGAAGCCUGAUGCAGAAACGCAGCGUGCGGGAUGACGGCCUUCGGGUUGUAAACCGCUUUCGCCUGUGACGAAGCGUGAGUGACGGUAAUGGGUAAAGAAGCACCGGCUAACUACGUG
rnacentral:rRNA from 1 species